AAUUAGGAGGUGGAAGAACCGUCUCCUCUUCUCUUCCUCUCCUUGUUUCUAUCUCUUCCUCUCUGUGUCUCUCCCAAUUGAUUAUUUAUCUGAAAAAAGCAAAGACAUCGCCAACCUCUCAGAUACCUUCUCAUCUCCUCCUCUACUAAAGCCCUCCGAAUCUCAAACCCUCAGUCACCGCCACCAUCGCUUCUUAGAUCCGUCUUCACCGGAGUCGCCACCACCACCGCCACGCUCGUCAUAACCACCACUGGUCACCUCUAUUUCAUUGUCUCCAGUAGAUCAGAAGAAGAAGAAGAAAUAUAAACUUCAAAGUCAUUGUUUUUAUGCUUUGAUUUGGUUUCUGAAACGUGUUUGAUUCUUAUUCUCUGACCCUUCGUUGACUUCGAGUGAAGGUUAUGCCUAUGAUUGUGGCUUCUAUUAUAUGUGUGUUUUGUACCCUUCCUGCAGCUUUCAGUUUUCAUCUCCUGAAGCAUCUAGAGGCCUCAUCUCAGAGAUGGAUUGCGUCGGUGAUAGAGCUCUGCAAUGGAGACAGAGGCCAGGAUGUCAUGAGUGUCACUGUCUGUAAUUCACAGACAUGAAUCGAGAAGCAAGAUGGCGCAGAGGACAGAGAAAGAGUUCAAGAUCGACUCCUGAAAGGGUCACGAUGAUAGAUCAAGGUUCAAUAUAGCGGUUCAUGCCUCAGGUUAGAGAGCAUGCUUUAGGGGUUAUCGAUGAAGGUAAUAAGAGGAAGUUCUCAAGGAGCAAGCCGCAUGUUUCUUCUGCAGAGAAGAGAGACAAUGAUGAUUCUGUAAUCCCUCCGACUAAAAAGUUGAUCACCAUGUCACCAGGCUCGUUCCCUCCCUUACAGCUCACUCUUAAAUGAACAUGUCUUGAUGCUGGUUGGUGUUAGAUAUAUGGUUAGUGUUAGUGUUAAAUGUGGUUUGUGAACAUCGUAGUGAAGCUUGUAGUCUUGUGUAUUCAUGUGUCACGGGAGCUUGUAGUCUUGUAAUCUUCUCUAUAUUAAGUUUUGGUAAAACCAAACAAUUUGAUCGCAAAUUUUCUUGUUC